GAGGAAGAGAGGUUCUCUGCAUUCAUCUUCUCUCCAGAUGGAAUGUUCUUCUUUGUAGAAGAGAAGACUAGCACUGCUGUGCUACCCUGUUGGCACCUAUUCACUUUUCCUCACUUGAUCUCCACACCAACGUUUCGCCUGAGGAACCGAGGGUGAUAAGUAACUCCACCUUCUAAAGAAGCUGCUAAAGCAUCCAUGUAGGAUUUGCUAAGAAGUGGCCCAACACCAGUUCUAUGCCCUUGCCCCAUCACCCACCUCCAGCCUAUAUAUGAGAAGACUGGAGCUUGAUCAAGGAUGCUGGGGAGUAAAGAUUUCUUCAAAGCAACUUAUCACAGUGUCCUGUGUUUUCCCUACCCACCGACUGAGGCUUGAAGGAAAGUGUUUUCUUGUCCCUCUUCAAGCCAGAUGCAACUAAAAACCCUGGAUAUUGUACGUAAAAGACACAAAAGAAGAAUCUGGAAGGUGGAGAGAAGAGGUAGAUUGGCUAGACCUUGGGAUCCCAAGAGCAGCAUGGGG